CUACGCACUCCUACGGGAGGCAGCAGUGGGGAAUAUUGCACAAUGGGCGCAAGCCUGAUGCAGCCAUGCCGCGUGUAUGAAGAAGGCCUUCGGGUUGUAAAGUACUUUCAGCAGUGAGGAAGGUGGAUAUGUUAAUAGCAUAUUCAUUUGACGUUAGCUGCAGAAGAAGCACCGGCUAACUCCGUGCCAGCAGCCGCGGUAAUACGGAGGGUGCGAGCGUUAAUCGGAAUUACUGGGCGUAAAGCGCAUGCAGGUGGUUUGUUAAGUCAGAUGUGAAAGCCCGGGGCUCAACCUCGGAAUUGCAUUUGAAACUGGCAAACUAGAGUACUGUAGAGGGGGUAGAAUUUCAGGUGUAGCGGUGAAAUGCGUAGAGAUCUGAAGGAAUACCGGUGGCGAAGGCGGCCCCCUGGACAGAUACUGACACUCAGAUGCGAAAGCGUGGGGAGCAAACAGGAUUAGAUACCCGGGUAG
rnacentral:rRNA from 1 species